AUACGCACCGGCUAACUCCGUGCCAGCAGCCGGGGUAAUACGGAGGGUGCAAGCGUUACUCGGAAUCACUGGGCGUAAAGGGCCCGUAGGUCGAUUAUCAAGUCUCUUGUGAAAUCUAAUGGCUUAACCAUUAAACUGCUUGGGAAACUGAUAGUCUAGAGUGAGGGAGAGGCAGAUGGAAUUGGUGGUGUAGGGGUAAAAUCCGUAGAUAUCACCAAGAAUACCCAUUGCGAAGGCGAUCUGCUGGAACUCAACUGACGCUAAGGCGCGAAAGCGUGGGGAGCAAACAGGAUUAGAUACCCUGUUAGUCCACGCCCUAAACGAUGGCCACUAGGUGUUGGGGUGCUAGUCAUCUCAGUAAUGCAGCUAACGCAUUAAGUGUACCGCCUGGGGAGUACGGUCGCAAGAUUAAAACUCAAAGGAAUAGACGGGGACCCGCACAAGCGGUGGAGCAUGUGGUUUAAUUCGAAGAUACGCGAAGAACCUUACCUGGGCUUGAUAUCCUAAGAACCUUUUAGAGAUAAGAGGGUGCUAGCUUGCUAGAACUUAGAGACAGGUGCUGCACGGCUGUCGUCAGCUCGUGUCGUGAGAUGUUGGGUUAAGUCCCGCAACGAGCGCAACCCACGUAUUUAGUUGCUAACGGUUCGGCCGAGCACUCUAAAUAGACUGCCUUCGUAAGGAGGAGGAAGGUGUGGACGACGUCAAGUCAUCAUGGCCCUUAUGCCCAGG
rnacentral:rRNA from 1 species